rnacentral:rRNA from 1 species
UACGUAGGGUGCGAGCGUUAAUCGGAAUUACUGGGCGUAAAGCGUGCGUAGGCGGCCAUGUAAGUGAGGUGUGAAAUCCCUCGGCUCAACCGAGGAACUGCGCUUCAUACUGCAUGGCUUGAGGGAGACAGGGGUAAGCGGAACUGAUGGUGGAGCGGUGAAAUGCGUUGAUAUCAUCAGGAACACCGGUGGCGAAAGCGGCUUACUGGGUCUCUUCUGACGCUGAGGUACGAAAGCUAGGGUAGCGAACGGG